AUUCUUCCCAACAACUGCCUUGCAAGAGUUUUUUAAAUCCAAAAUUGCUUAUCUCCCUCAGAUUCUUAUUUUCUACUCUCUGCAAGAGUGUCACUAGGGAAUCUCUUUUACUGCUAAUUUUAUGUGAUAAGAGGAAGCUGAAAGUUAUCUUGGCCUAGAUGCAUGCCUAUGCCUUAGAGACACAGUCUCUAUCAUUACCAUCUGAGUCAUUGUCAGUAAUUAUCCAUUUCAUCAGCAUAGAUCUGUUCUGUUACUUUAUGGAUUUUUAUUUUUUUUUAAACUUUGUUUAUGACAAGAGCUUUGUCUGUUUCUUUCCAGAUGUCCUUCUGCUAUUAACAAGAUGUUACUUAAAACUUCUUUCUUAUCUGUCAAUUGUUGACCUCUCUCAAGCAACAUUUAUUUACUACAUGCUAGUUUUGUAUGGGCUUUUUGUCAGUAUGAAGUACAGCAUAAAAAGUUCCAAGCAUCUCCAUAAAGAAGACUGCAGCGUGGAGUUGACAGAAUCUUGCUGGCUUUGGUCCAGACAAAACAGCAGACAAAACACAGAUGAACAAAUGCAGCUCAAGAUCACUUCAUCUGUUUCUUGGAAGUUUAACAUUUACUUGGAUAACUUUACACUAUAAUGGAAGCUAUGCUGUGUGCCUACCCUGAAGGAAGUCUAAGAAAAUGCAUUGUUUGCAUAUGGUCUGCAAUGGAGAUAGAAUUUCUGUUCCAAAUAAACAACUUCAGACCAUUAGGAUGUCA
rnacentral:lncRNA from 1 species